UAGAGUUUGAUCCUGGCUCAGAACGAACGCUGGCGGCAGGCCUAACACAUGCAAGUCGAACGCUCCAGCAAUGGAGAGUGGCAGACGGGUGAGUAACGCGUGGGAACCUUCCCAGUGGUACGGAAUAGCCCAGGGAAACUUGGGGUAAUACCGUAUACGCCCUUACGGGGAAAGAUUUAUCGCCAUUGGAUGGGCCCGCGUCGGAUUAGCUAGUUGGUGGGGUAACGGCCUACCAAGGCGACGAUCCGUAGCUGGUCUGAGAGGAUGAUCAGCCACACUGGGACUGAGACACGGCCCAGACUCCUACGGGAGGCAGCAGUGGGGAAUAUUGGACAAUGGGCGAAAGCCUGAUCCAGCCAUGCCGCGUGAGUGACGAAGGCCUUAGGGUUGUAAAGCUCUUUUGGCGGGGAAGAUAAUGACGGUACCCGCAGAAUAAGCUCCGGCUAACUUCGUGCCAGCAGCCGCGGUAAUACGAAGGGAGCUAGCGUUGUUCGGAAUCACUGGGCGUAAAGAGCACGUAGGCGGAUGUGUCAGUCAGGGGUGAAAUCCCGGAGCUCAACUUCGGAACUGCCUUUGAUACAGCACGUCUUGAGUCCGAGAGAGGUGGGUGGAAUUCCUAGUGUAGAGGUGAAAUUCGUAGAUAUUAGGAAGAACACCGGUGGCGAAGGCGGCCCACUGGCUCGGUACUGACGCUGAGGUGCGAAAGCGUGGGAGCAAACAGGAUUAGAUACCCUGGUAGUCCACGCCGUAACGAUGGAUGCUAGCCGUCAGCAAGCAUGCUUGUUGGUGGCGCAGCUAACGCAUUAAGCAUCCCGCCUGGGGAGUACGGCCGCAA
rnacentral:rRNA from 1 species